GUAGCGAAGGGCUGGAGGCAAACACCGAGCUCCCCCUGAGCCGCCUGGGAGCAGGGAGGGUUCUGCUACCCUGAGGGGCCCUCCCCGCGGGGCAGAGGCUCAUUGCCCAGACUUUGAGCCAUUUUCUGGGCUCACCCUAAUAUCCACCCCUUGACUCUCUGUAAGUGACUGAACUCGUGACUGGCUCCGUGUUGAGAACGUGGGGGAUCAGAAUAAGGUGGGAGGAAGUCACAGCAUCUACUUCUGAAUCUGUGCUUGCCUUGAGGAAAAACGGCAUGGCACAGGAAUGUGGACGCUUUCAACCAGAGGAUUCUGUACGACGGUGUCGGCACACAAGGAGUGUUCCACUGACUGACCUCUUUUUGUUUUCAAAUGAAGAGGAGCCAAGAAUAGGACAGCUUGGGAAGCUCAUCCUCGUCUACGGCCAAACGUUGGUUUCUCAUUUCUAGAAGAUGAAAGAUGUGAUGACUCAGGAAAAACCGUUCUCUCUGCUUACAGCUUGCUGCUCGAGAUGUGAGUCUUCAGAUGUUCCUGCCGCCAUAUCUGACAGCUGCUGCCAAGAUUCCCUGGUGGGAUGGA
ensembl:processed_transcript 2210408F21Rik RIKEN cDNA 2210408F21 gene